GACGAACGCUGGCGGCGUGCCUAACACAUGCAAGUCGAACGGAAAGGCCCUGCUCUUGUGGGUUGCUCGAGUGGCGAACGGGUGUGUAACACGCGAGUAACCUGCCCUUGACUUUGGGAUAACUUCAGGAAACUGGGGCUAAUACCGGAUAGGAGCUCCUGCUGCAUGGUGGGGGUUGGAAAGUUUCGGCGGUUCGGGAUGGACUCGCGGCUUAUCAGCCUGUUGGUGGGGUAGUGGCUUACCAAGGCUUUGACGGGUAGCCGGCCUGAGAGGGUGACCGGCCACAUUGGGACUGGGAUACGGCCCAGACUCAUACGGGAGGCAGCAGUGGGGAAUAUUGCACAAUGAUAGGAAGCCUGAUGCAGCAACGCAGGGUGCGGGAUGACGGCCUGCGGGUUGUAAACCGCUUUCGCCGGUAACGAGGCGUGAGGGACGGUAAUGGGUAAAGAAGCAACGGCUAACUACGUG
rnacentral:rRNA from 1 species